UUGCCAUAUCAAUAAGCGGAGGAAAAGAAACCAACCGGGAUUGCCUUAGUAACGGCGAGUGAAGCGGCAAAAGCUCAAAUUUGAAAUCUGGUACCUUCGGUGCCCGAGUUGUAAUUUGUAGAAGGUAACUUUGGGGCUGGUCCUUGUCUAUGUUCCUUGGAACAGGACGUCAUAGAGGGUGAGAAUCCCGUGUGGCGAGGAUCCCAGUUCUUUGUAAAGUGCUUUCGAAGAGUCGAGUUGUUUGGGAAU
rnacentral:rRNA from 1 species